AGGGAUUCUGGAGUCGAGUGGUGUAUCAUUUACCACCUUUUAGUUUACUGGGGCUACCUUUACUUGCUGGGAGGCGUAUGAGCGGCAUAGGCCGGCAGGUGUAGUGCCUUUGACUUGGUAGGAGUUCUCGACUCUUUUCUUGGAGAAGUGGGUACCGAAGUCUUAGAGGGAGGAGCUGCGUAGGCAGUUUGAGUGGCUUCGACAGGGAGAUAUGACUGUGUCCUAGUAUGAGGCGAGGUUUUUUGAGUUGGCUUGUAAUGCUCCUAGAUACUCCAACUGAUCGGGAGAGAAUAAAG
rnacentral:lncRNA from 1 species